CCGGCGACCGGCGGACGGGUGCGUAACGCGUAUGUAACCUACCUUUGACAGGGGGAUAACAUCGAGAAAUUGGUACUAAUACCCCAUAACAUCACCGGAGGCAUCUUCGGUGGUUGAAAACUCAGGUGGUCAGAGAUGGACAUGCGUUGUAUUAGCUAGUUGGUGAGGUAACGGCUCACCAAGGCGACGAUACAUAGGGGGACGUGAGAGGUCAACCCCCCACCAUUGGUACUGAGACACGGACCAAACUCCUACGGGAGGCAGCAG
rnacentral:rRNA from 1 species